UGUAAGCGUAUACCAAAGUUGUUGCAGUUAAAACGCUCGUAGUCGGAAUUUGGCAGUUCCGGAAGUGUGCACGUCGUGUGCGCACUUUGCCGGGACUGCUUUUGUGGUCUUGCGUAGGAUGAGGCACUUUCAUUAGUGAACGUCCUCACGCAACCACUCUUUACUGUGAGAAAAUCAGAGUGCUCAAAGCAGGCAUUUGCCGUGAAUGUAUUAGCAUGGAAUAAUAGAAUAGGACUCGGUUCUAUUUUGUUGGUUUGUUGGGACUGAGUAAUGAUUAAGAGGGACAGUUGGGGGCAUUUGUAUUCCGGCGCUAGAGGUGAAAUUCUUAGAUUGCCGGAAGACAAACUGCUGCGAAAGCGUCUGCCAAGGAUGUUUUCAUUGA
rnacentral:rRNA from 1 species